rnacentral:rRNA from 1 species
UACGGAGGGUGCAAGCGUUAUCCGGAUUCACUGGGCUUAAAGGGUGCGUAGGUGGGUUGGUAAGUCAGUGGUGAAAUCUCCGAGCUUAACUUGGAAACUGCCAUUGAUACUAUCAGACUUGAAUAUUGUGGAGGUCAGCGGAAUAUGUCAUGUAGCGGUGAAAUGCUUAGAUAUGACAUAGAACACCAAUUGCGAAGGCAGCUGGCUACACAUAUAUUGACACUGAGGCACGAAAGCGUGGGGAGCAAACAGG